UACGAAGGGGGCUAGCGUUGCUCGGAAUUACUGGGCGUAAAGGGCGCGUAGGCGGAUGUCUAAGUUGGGGGUGAAAUCCCGGGGCUCAACCUCGGAACCGCCUUCAAUACUGGCAUAUCUUGAGUUCGGGAGAGGUGAGUGGAAUGCCGAGUGUAGAGGUGAAAUUCGUAGAUAUUGGGAAGAACACCGGUGGCGAAGGCGGCGACCUGGAUCCGAUACUGACGGCUGAGGCGCGAAAGCGUGGGGAGCAAACAGG
rnacentral:rRNA from 1 species